CCCAACUAUCCCUAUUAAUCAUUACGGUGAUCCUAGAAACCAACAAAAUAGAACCAUGCCGUCCUAUUUUAUUAUUCCAUGCUAAUGUAUUCAGGCAUAGGCCUGCUUUGAGCACUCUAAUUUUUUCAAGGUAAUGGUUCUGCUUCCCCGGCACAUCAAAUUAAUGGCAUACCGGUUAUUCAGAAGGUAGGAAUCCAUCACACCAGUGCGGACCGUGAGGCCCGACCGACGGAUAGAUCCCGAAAUUCAACUACGAGCUUUUUAACUGCAACAACUUUAAUAUACGCUAUUGGAGCUGGAAUUACCGCGGCUGCUGGCACCAGACUUGCCCUCCAA
rnacentral:misc_RNA from 2 species